rnacentral:rRNA from 1 species
GUCUGCACUGCAGCGCGAACUGGUUUCCUUGAGUACGCACAAAGUGGGCGGAAUUCGUGGUGUAGCGGUGAAAUGCUUAGAUAUCACGAAGAACUCCGAUUGCGAAGGCAGCUCACUGGAGCGCAACUGACGCUGAAGCUCGAAAGUGCGGGUAUCGAACAGGAUUAGAUACCCUGGUAGUCCGCACGGUAAACGAUGGAUGCCCGCUGUUGGUCUGAAUAGGUCAGCGGCCAAGCGAAAGCAUUAAGCAUCCCACCUGGGGAGUACGCCGGCAACGGUGCAACUCAAAUGAAUUGACGG